rnacentral:rRNA from 1 species
CCUACGGGUGGCAGCAGUGAGGAAUAUUGGUCAAUGGCCGGAAGGCUGAACCAGCCAUGCCGCGUGAAGGUCAGUGCCCUAUGGGCGUUAAACUUCUUUUGUGCGGGAGCAAUAAUGGUCACGUGUGGCCAGACGAGAGUACCGUACGAAUAAGCAUCGGCUAACUCCGUGCCAGCAGCCGCGGUAAUACGGAGGGUGCGAGCGUUAAUCGGAAUUACUGGGCGUAAAGCGCUCGUAGGCGGUAUGUCAAGUCAAGGGUGAAAUCCCCGCGCUCAACGUGGGAACUGCCUUUGAAACUGGCAAACUGGAGUGUGUGAGAGGAUAGUGGAAUUCCAGGUGUAGGAGUGAAAUCCGUAGAUAUCUGGAGGAACAUCAGUGGCGAAGGCGACUAUCUGGCACAUAACUGACGCUGAGGAGCGAAAGCGUGGGUAGCAAACAGGAUUAGAUACCCUUGUAGUC